UCCGAGUUGACCCCGGCGGUCUCCCACGAGUCCCCGGCAUUACCCGCUGGCAACAUAGGACAAGGGUUGCGUUCGUUGCGGGACUUAACCCAACAUCUCACGACACGAGCUGACGACAACCAUGCACCACCUGCACACCAACCACAAGGGAAGCCCCAUCUCUGGGGAUAUCUGGCGCAUGUCAAGCCCAGGUAAGGUUCUUCGCGUUGCAUCGAAUUAAACCACAUGCUCCGCUGCUUGUGCGGGCCCCCGUCAAUUCCUUUGAGUUUUAGCCUUGCGGCCGUACUCCCCAGGCGGAGAACUUAAUGCGUUAGCGACGGCACGGGAGGAGUCGACACCUCCCACACCUAGUUCUCAUCGCUUACAGCGUGGACUAC
rnacentral:misc_RNA from 1 species